UUUGUUUUCUGUGUUUUAGGUUUUUCCAAAAUGACCGCGCUCAGGACUAUACGAAACGCGAAAGAAACAUUUAGAAUUUUUUUAAAUUUGAGGAUUAUUCUCAAUUUCCCAGAGUUUGAUAAGUGAAUCAUUAAUACUUUGAUUUGAAAUUUCACAUAAGGGUGUUAGAAGUAACCGGCCCAUCAGCGCUUUUAGUAUAUCCCAUUAAAAUGUAGGAAAUGUAGGAAAACAUCAGCACUAAGAAAUACAUCAACAGCUACCGGUCCACAUAUUACAAAUCACUGCAUUAUUCUCGGAAAAGGCAGAAAAGGAGUUAAGGUCUGGAAAAGCAGUGCAGACUUGCAGCACUCACGUCGGCGUCAGUAUAAUUCUGUAAUUAAUUCAGCGUUUUUGUUCUUCAAGCCCUGUAGAUACGAUGCAAUUUCUACGUCUAUUUUGUAUAUAAGGCAUUUUUUUGGUAAAUCGACAAAAGCGUUUGUUUU